rnacentral:piRNA from 1 species
UCUCAAAUGAGAAAAGACAGAAGCAAAUGU